ACAUGCAGUCGAACGAGAUCUUCGGAUCUAGUGGCGCACGGGUGCGUAACGCGUGGGAAUCUGCCCUUGGGUACGGAAUAACUCAGAGAAAUUUGUGCUAAUACCGUAUAAUGUCUUCGGACCAAAGAUUUAUCGCCCAAGGAUGAGCCCGCGUAGGAUUAGCUAGUUGGUGAGGUAAAAGCUCACCAAGGCGACGAUCCUUAGCUGGUCUGAGAGGAUGAUCAGCCACACUGGGACUGAGACACGGCCCAGACUCCUACGGGAGGCAGCAGUGGGGAAUAUUGNACAAUGGGCGAAAGCCUGAUCCAGCAAUGCCGCGUGAGUGAUGAAGGCCCUAGGGUUGUAAAGCUCUUUUACCCGGGAUGAUAAUGACAGUACCGGGAGAAUAAGCUCCGGCUAACUUCGUGCCAGCAGCCGCGGUAAUACGAGGGGAGCUAGCGUUGUUCGGAAUUACUGGGCGUAAAGCGCGCGUAGGCGGUUUUUUAAGUCAGAGGUGAAAGCCCGGGGCUCAACCCCGGAAUUGCCUUUGAAACUGGAAAACUAGAAUCUUGGAGAGGUCAGUGGAAUUCCGAGUGUA
rnacentral:rRNA from 1 species